AAAACGACUCUCGGCAACGGAUAUCUCGGCUCUCGCAUCGAUGAAGAACGCAGCGAAAUGCGAUACUUGGUGUGAAUUGCAGAAUCCCGUGAACCAUCGAGUCUUUGAACGCAAGUUGCGCCCAAAGCCUUCGGGCUGAGGGCACGCCUGCCUGGGUGUCACGC
rnacentral:rRNA from 1 species